CCCUAUGGUUUACCAGAGUAGGUACAGUUUUAUACAGUUGCAUCAUGUGAAUACUUUCAUAAAAACUAGAGGGAUUUAUUCGUGAAUUGAUGAAAAUGAGUGCUAACUAUGUGAUAUUGGACUUGAGAUUCAGUUCGUAUUAUUUUUCGACGCCGAUCGGUCUUGUGGUACGCAGUAGGAAAGCCCUGUUGCUGAGUGAAGUGUGAGUUCCAGUGAUGGUGCAGAUUUUGUGAAAAUCGCCAGCUGAUCAUUAAGUAUGUGCCUGGAACCUGGAAUUUUUCUGCUCACUGUGAAAGCAAGUGAAAACUACUGCUUUGACUUGGAAUUUUCUGGAAGUUCAUGGGUGGAAAAGGUACAGGUAAUAUUUAUUUCUUGGCAUGCUGAAAGAGAUAGGGAAAUUUGUGAUGGGAAUUUUGGACCGUGACUUUCUUUCAAAGCUCCAUCAACUCACAUGAUCAGUGAGUAGGUACCUUUAUGAAAGAUGUUGAACUCUGGUGCCUAAUUGUGUGAAGAGAGGGAAGUAAGCCUUGGGUCACUUGAUUUUAAAGGAGAGCCCACGUUUACUCAUUGAAAACAAGAUUGUUGGAGCUUUUCAUUUGAGUUAUUAUCCAAUUUUCUCCCCACAACUGAAAACACAUGAUCGAUUUGGAAGGAGGAACUAGCCAAAAAUCAAGUUUCUUAUUUUUUACUCAGGAAACUCAUUUCAGACUCGCAAGGCUGGAAUGAUGUUAUUUAUACAAUUGAAUAAUUCUGUUUAUUCUUCUUUUGGAGAUCAUUUGUUGACUCACGGAUCCAUAUUCUUAUGAAGGCAUCGUGUUCAUUUUAAGAUGAGCCCUGGGCUCCAUAUGAACACAUUUAUUUCAAGACUCAUCAGAAAUUUUAACUUCCUUGCUCAAUUAAAAUAUGGAUUUAUGAGUGGACAAAUACUGUCAAAAGAGAAUUAAAUAGGACUUUAAAAAAUAAUAAUAAAAAAAAAAAAAA